ACAGGCGGGGACGGGCCGCGGAGGGGCCGCGGUUGCCGUGGCAACGGACGCCACCGCGCGACCCGGUUCCAGAAGGUUCUGGGGGCGGCGGAGCGGGGUCGCUCCCCUCCGCCCCGCUGGGUACUGGCCGGGGCCGGUGCCCGGCGGCGAGGAGAAGCGGCCUCCUCCCCGAGCCCCCCCGGCAUCCAUUUGCCCUUCGCAAGGGUGAGCCCCGCGAAGGCCUCGCCUUCCGGAUUAAAAUUUCUGCGUUUUCGGGGCAGGAUUCAGCGCUCGGCGAAGUGAAUGGUGACGUUGGAGGUGCUGUCCGGCCUCAGCCAGGAUUGCUGUUGCAUUUGCUGUGAGAUUGCCCCUCAGAUCCCUUGUAUACCGCGGCAGCGCAGCAGUUAAGGUGACAACAACAGAAGUGCUGUCAGCAGACUGUGAAGAAUCAGCCAUUCUGCUUUAAAUAUUACGAACUAUAACAUGAAAAUACAGAAGUUGCCAGCAACCAGUGUGAACACCUACAGCUUCCAAAGAAAGGUGACAGUCCUUCCCAGCAACUGGCUGUUAGCAAUGCUCAUUCACUGUGAUUUUGCCUUCUGUUUUUAGACUGCCGCUGAGGUUUACUGUUACAACUGCUUUGGGAUUAGAGAGACAUCUAGUGGGAAUGAGAUUUUUACAUUGGCAGCUCGACAACCACAAGAUGACAACUUUGGAAACUACCGACUGUUCAAAAUGGAAAAAUGCCCAUAUAUGGAGCUUGUGGACAGCACACAUAUUUGGAUAGCUAUGCAUUCUAUUAACCCAUUUAAAAUGUGCCCAAGUCUUGUAAAAUAAUUUUAAUCAGUAUGUUUUUCAAGAUUCUCCUUAUUCUUGCAUAGCUGGGUUUAGAACUAAGUUUAUUUCUGGUGUUGCUGCCUACUUACCUAUUUCAUUUCCAGGACUCAAAUUUAUCUGCUUACCUUUAACAGGAAAAUAAAUAAUUUAUUUUAAUCAUUCAUAAGACACUGUUCAAGUAAAGGCAAAAUAAGGAAAGAGAGAAUUUACACAACUUCAAUCAAGAGUGGUCUAAAACUGUAGUCUAAAAUAAAAAUUAACAACAAUGACCCUGUACAGACUGGCCUUAUACACACUUUGUUCAACUAUACAGGAGCAAACUCAGUGGAACAGCUUCUCUUUUUGCUAAAAGUUUAAGCUGUAAAAUCAUAACAACAGAAGGUUCUCCAAAUGGCAAGCGCUACCGAACACUGAUUCAGCACCCUUAAGAUAGGGCUCAACAUCAGCACUGAGCUUCAAUGCAAAUGAAUCUUGCAAAAGACCAUUAACAUUGCAACGAUUGGUGGUUUGACUAUUCAGCUUAUCCAUACAUAACAAGGGAUCCAGCACAAUUAGAUUAAAUCUCUUGCAACACACAACAUUUGGCCUUGCUAAGAUUGUCAGAGUCUGCUCCACAUGACCUCUACCUCAAUUACACAGACUUAAGAAUCACUGACCUGGUUAGGGAAGCAUCUUGAAAAAUCUAUAUUGUAUGAAUUUGCAGGUUUACGUUGUAUAACAAGAAGGAUGGUAUAUUUUCUAAUUUGUAACAGAUGGUAUCUAGUAUUAAACAAUGUACCCAAUCCUGACCAUUCCUUCUUCUCCCCAUGCCAGUAUCAUAAACUUCAUGUGUAAUGAAUGUUCGAAGUAAAAGUUGGGAUAGGAUGAUAGAAUAGAAACCCUAAAACAGAAAAAGUGGCUUCUUAAAUGAAUUAUUUCCACAUAGACACUGGGGAAAUAAACAAGUAUUUCAUUAAAACUACAGAAUUCUGAUUAAUUCUUUUACUGGUUAUUCUGAUUGCUAAUCUACAAAUGGAACAAUAAAAAUCAGUAUGACAAUGAUUUGCUCUGUGUCUCAAAUUAUGUUUGGAAUAUUUCAUCACAGGACUUUGUAUUUAACUUUUCUGUUUAUUUCAGAUGAUCUAAAUGCUAUUUCCAUUUUCUGUUCAGAUCUUGCUCACAAUUCUCCUCCAGCAUGGACUUGCUGGACAAAUUUUUUUAUGGCUGGAUAAGCAAUAGUCAUGUGACUGUUCCAGGAACAAAGCUUCAGCAGAAAUAUCAGCAGAAGUAGUUUUUUUAAAAAACGGAAAGAAAAAAGAUUUUUCACUCAUGUUCAUUUGGCUUUUAGCCAAAAGGCUGGUGAACCUCGUCUUUUGUAAUUUUUCUCUUUUGGAUUAUGCAAGGGGUGUGAUCCUUUUUGAGCCAAUGAGAAGCUCAUUAGUAAACAGUCUUCAGAUCACAGAUUAUUUGAUAAGCAACACAGCAAAAAUAUUGUUAGGUCAUAUGAACCUGCCUUCAUUCAGUGGACUGUUUUUUUUCUAAAGAUAAAGUAAACACACUUACAUUUGGAUGUGCUAAAGAAUUAUCAUCUUGAUAUUUGAUAGCAGUAGGAAUGUUGGCAGUUGUUGUUUCUUUUUCAGUAGCAGGUGCAUCAACAGUUCCCACUCCUACAGUUACAGGUUCGUAUUUUAGUUCAGUAGGUUCUGUUGUCUAAAAAGAAAGAAAUACAUCUGGGUAUGACUGUGCAUUACCAAGGCUGCUCCUCAGACUCCAAGGCAUGGCAGUACCUUAACUCGGUGUUAGCCGCCUUCGCGUUGCAGCAUGUGCCCACUAAAGGCUCCUCGUGCAAGUACGCUGCCGAAUGCUCAGCAGGAGCUGCCUGGACACAGACUGAUGGCCAGGCUAAACGUACAAAGUGAAGCAGAAGGCAUUGCCCAAAGGAGCAAACAGAGCAAUCUGCAACCUUGCAAAACUGUAGCUUUGGUUUUUGGAUCGCUUUCUUAAGAAGCUGCAUGAACUUCUUGAAGACUUCUGAAAAGACAGUACUGUGUAUGUUCUUGGGGAAACAUACAGGGAUAAUUUAAAACAUUUCACUGUCAAAUGGAAAAAACAAACCAAAGCUUUGUGUGCAUUCUUCCACAGACAAGCGUCUGGGUUCUCUUAGAAGACUUAGUGGCCAAAUUACAAGUAAAAUUUUGAAACCUGGAUGUCUGAAGUUAGUUUUGUGGAAAGCUAUCUGAAAACCAUGCCAUUUAUUUCAGUGAGUAAAUAUGGCUUUAAGUCUGGCUUCAGUUAAGUAUAAUUAGAAAUACUGAUCUCUACUUUUAAUUACAAUAUAAAUGUAUGAUUACCUUUGCAUUUUAAUUGUUCUGCUUUCCCUUAAAAACACUUCAUGAUUUUAUAUGAUUUUAAAAGAAUCUUAAACAAUCUGAAUUGCCAAACAUGGUUAGAACAUACAGUCAAAGCAGUUGAUUUCAUUGAUAUUUCUCACACAUCUAAACAUGUUCUUCCCUGACCACCACAUCAAGCAUUUCGGAGAGUCUGUCUGAACACUGACUGCAACAGUGGGAUUUAGAAUUGUCGACAUUGAUGCUUUCAUCAGUGGCAACUGUGCUAAUAGUGCAUCUUCCACCUGACUUUGAGAGCAUUAUGCACAAAGAAAGGAUAUUGAAAACUUACCUUUUUGACUUCUUUACUUGAUCUGAAUGUCUGUGGAACAAAGGAGUCACUUUCAAUAGCUUCAAUUUCUUUUACUCGUUUGACUUGCUCUACUAGGGUGGCUUGGUCUACAAAAAGAAGAUGCAACGUCAGUAUACAUUAGCGUAAGCCUAUGAUAAAUGCUAUGUCUAGGCAAUACCUUGAAUAUAUUUUACAACCUAGGAACCAUAUAGCAAAAAAAAAAAAAAAAAAAAAAAAAAAAAAUUAAUGCAAGCUAAAAUACUCUGUUACAGAGAAAAACUCUCUUUUUUAAUAAAAAUAAAAACAGUGAAUUGGCUGUUACGGCUCAAUAUGUGAUAUAAUUCAAGAUGCUAACUGAAGAAUUUGCUAGCAAAGUCCUUACAGGAUAACUGUGCUAGAUUUAUAGCAGGAGAAUUUCCUGGAAAAGUUAAGGAUUCUCAGAUAGUACAGACAAUUUAGUGGAGUAAAAUUUGUAAGUAUUAGUAAAAACACUUCUGCUUGUACGAAGGUGAAUUUGGCUUCAGUGGUUGAUGUCAGAGGGACGUGCCAUCAUCUGUAGUCUUCCUAAAACAAGCUAAGUGAUUAGUUCUGUAUUAACAGUUACAUCAUGAAAUGAAUUUGACAAAAAGCUUAGAAUUUUCUGAAUUGUAUUUUUUGUAUUAUAUUUGGUAAUAAAACAUCCAUAAGAUAUA